rnacentral:misc_RNA from 1 species
GACAGUCAGAGUACAAUAGUCUCGAGCAAGAACUUCAUGUACCAUACAAGGACAAAACACAUCGACGAUAAAUAUCAUUGGAUUCGUGAGGAAGUGGAGAGUGAAUCAUUUCACGUCAAAAAGAUUCACACAAGUGAAAAUCCUGUGGAUAUGCUGACCAAGACGAUAUCGAAAGACAAGUUCGAGUUAUGCAAAGAACUUGUAGGUAUGAGUUCUCUCUAAAGAAGAUGAAGAUACCUCCUUCCAGUGAAUAGGACUGGAGGGGGAGAUUUGUUUAAUCCAUCCCAUUUUUUGAUCAAC